AAACUAGCAUAUCAAUAAGCGGAGGAAAAGAAACCAACAGGGAUUGCCCUAGUAACGGCGAGUGAAGCGGCAACAGCUCAAAUUUGAAAUCUGGCUCCUUUGGGGUCCGAGUUGUAAUUUGCAGAGGGUGCUUUGGCGUUGGUUGUGGUCUAAGUUCCUUGGAACAGGACGUCGCAGAGGGUGAGAAUCCCGUAUGUGGCCGCCAGCCUCUGCCGUGUAAAGCCCCUUCGACGAGUCGAGUUGUUUGGGAAUGCAGCUCUAAAUGGGAGGUAAAUUUCUUCUAAAGCUAAAUAUCUGCCAGAGACCGAUAGCGCACAAGUAGAGUGAUCGAAAGAUGAAAAGCACUUUGGAAAGAGAGUCAAAAAGCACGUGAAAUUGUUGAAAGGGAAGCGCUUGCAGCUAGACGUGCCUUUAGUUGAUCAGCCGGGCUUCUGCCCGGUGCACUCUUCUACUGGCAGGCCAGCAUCAGUUUGGGCGGCUGGAUAAAGGUCUAUUAAACGUGACUCCCUUUGGGGAGAGCUUAUAGGGUAGGCGACAUGCAGCCAGCCUGAACUGAGGUCCGCGCAUCUGCUAGGAUGCUGGCGUAAUAGCUGUAAGCGGCCCGUCUUGAAACACGGACCAAGGAGUCUAACAUCUAUGCGAGUGUUUGGGUGUCAAGCCCGAGCGCGCAAUGAAAGUAAACGGAGGUGGGAACCCUUUGGGUGCACCAUCGACCGAUCCUGAUGUCUUCGGAUGGAUUUGAGUAAGAGCAUAGCUGUUGGGACCCGAAAGAUGGUGAACUAUGCCUGAAUAGGGUGAAGCCAGAGGAAACUCUGGUGGAGGCUCGCAGCGGUUCUGACGUGCAAAUCGAUCGUCAAAUUUGGGCAUAGGGGCGAAAGACUAAUCGAACUAUCUAGUAGCUGGUUCCUGC
rnacentral:rRNA from 1 species